GUGAGGAAUAUUGCGCAAUGGGGGAAACCCUGACGCAGCGACGCCGCGUGGGCGACGAAGGCCUUCGGGUCGUAAAGCCCUUUUGGCAGGGACGAGUGAGGACGGUACCUGCCGAAUAAGUCUCGGCUAACUACGUGCCAGCAGCCGCGGUAAAACGUAGGAGGCGAGCGUUAUCCGGAUUCACUGGGCGUAAAGCGCGCGUAGGCGGUUGGGUAAGUCGGACGUGAAAGCCCCUGGCUCAACUGGGGGAGGCCGUUCGAUACUGCCCGGCUUGAGGGUGAGAGAGGGAAGUGGAAUUCCCGGUGUAGCGGUGGAAUGCGUAGAGAUCGGGAGGAACACCAGUGGCGAAAGCGGCUUCCUGGCUCACUCCUGACGCUGAGAGCGCGAAAGCGUGGGGAGCAAACGGGAUUAGAAACCCUAGUAGUCC
rnacentral:rRNA from 1 species